UACGUAGGGCGCAAGCGUUAUCCGGAAUUAUUGGGCGUAAAGAGCUCGUAGGCGGUUUGUCGCGUCUGCCGUGAAAGUCCGGGGCUCAACUCCGGAUCUGCGGUGGGUACGGGCAGACUAGAGUGAUGUAGGGGAGACUGGAGUUCCUGGUGUAGCGGUGAAAUGCGCAGAUAUCAGGAAGAACACCCGUGGCGAAGGCGGUUCUCUGGAACGCAACUGACGCUGAGACGCGAAAGCGUGGGGAGCAAACAGG
rnacentral:rRNA from 1 species